rnacentral:rRNA from 1 species
CAGCAGUAGCCACGGUAAUACAGAGGGUGCGAGCGUUAAUCGGAUUUACUGGGCGUAAAGCGUGCGUAGGCGGCUUCUUAAGUCGGAUGUGAAAUCCCUGAGCUUAACUUAGGAAUUGCAUUCGAUACUGGGAAGCUAGAGUAUGGGAGAGGAUGGUAGAAUUCCAGGUGUAGCGGUAAAAUGCGUAGAGAUCUGGAGGAAUACCGAUGGCGAAGGCAGCCAUCUGGCCUAAUACUGACGCUGAGGUACGAAAGCAUGGGGAGCAAACAGGAUUAGAGACCCCUGUAGUCCCUGUCUCUUAUAC